AUGACUACAAUGUGACAGGCAAUCUUAAAUUCCGCUGUCCUGACUUCCCCUCAGUGAUGGACUAUGACCUGGAGCUAUGAAGCAGAAAAAACCCUUCCUCCCCUAAACUGCUCCGUUAGGGCAUUUUAUCACAGUUACCGGAAAAGAAACCAAGGAAGUAAUUAUAUAAUAGAAGUGAAGAAUGUUCCAACUAUAUGAUCAAGAGAAGCCUGCAAUCUGCCCAAGAGUAUCAGAUGGGAAACCCGUGGAAGAUUAAAUGACAGUCAGAGAAAACAAUAGGACCGCUGCUUCCUCGCCGGUGAGCCUUACAGAGGGGCCUGCCUACUCGGCAGCCUUAGCGCCUCUGCUGAAGCCACUGUGGCACACACAGACUGAACACAGACUGAAGGGGCACACUCCAGGAGGCAGGCCACAGAAAGACCUCUUGUUCAGCCUGGGGCACACUGAACUUUCCGUCUGGGGUUGCUGUUGUGACAUCUGGUCAGUCCAUGUUGGAUCCUGGCCCUCUAGGACCUCUAGCUCCUGUGGCAUCCUGUUAGUCAGCCAGGCUGUGUGUCUUUAAGGCCUGGGAUGACGGCCCUUGAAUCUCCUGAAGAGCAUGGCAAAGAAAAGGAAUGAAUAAGUCUGUGUGUGUGUGUGUGUGUGUGUGUGUGUGUGUGUGUGUGUGUGUGUGUAAGAAAGAGAAUCUUGGAACAUGGACAGAGUGUCACACUUACACACAGAAUCCCCAUCGCAUGUUGUGUUCUUGGAAGCCACUGAACAGGAAGUGAAUCAAGGGUAACUGAAUGGAAGUAAAAAGAGAUGGGACUGAGGGAAGAAGGGAAUCAAGACUGCAGAGAAGAGGAGGACCCGUCGUUCCUUGUUCUUCCACCAGGGGGCGCAGGAGGCUAGUAGACUGCACCUUGAGACUCCCACAAAAUCCUCAAGAGGAUUGGCAGUGUACCCCUCCACAGAAAGGAAGCUGCGUAGUCCGAGAGAGGAAGCACACAACACAGACUUGCCUGCAGCUGCAGGUCGCAGUCUGGCUUCAUCUGUCUGGCACAGUGGGGUAGGAAGGGAUUUUGGUGCCGUUGGCAAGUCUACCUUGAAACAGGUUGAUUCUUGCAGCCAGAGGCAACUGCUGGGGUCUAGUCAAUCCAGAACUGGCUUGAAUUCCUUCACCCAUGAUGUCAUGAGCCAUGGGAAGGUUAUUCACACAGAGUUCUGUAAAUCCACCCCUACCACGUACACCUUCUACCUUGAACUAGUCAAGGCCAGCCCCCACCCACCCCCAGCUCUGGCUCUCGUUCUGAGAACCAGUCUUACGUUAGGCCCUGGGACACAGUGAGGAACAGGACACAUCCUGCCCUCCAGGCACCUCACUCAAAAGGCAGUGGCAGUGGUGGCGCACACCUUUAAUCCCUGCAUUUGGGCAGAGGCAGGUGGAUCUCUGCGAGUUCAAGGCCA